GAAGAAGGGCAAAGUCAGGAUUGUGUCAGCACCAAAGGCCAGCUCACCUGUCCCUCCCAACGUGGACCCCUCCUGCAGCCAACUAAGACAGAGAAGGUGUAGAAGGAAGGGAUGGUAGGAGAGGUUGUUCUUUCCAGAAGACAGAUGUGUACAAUGAGAUCCACUUCCACCUCUCCCGCCAGCCCCCCACUAUGGGGAUGGGGGCAUGGCUCCCAAUUCUGCCUUCACAACCUCCUAGCCCCCAGCUCUCAGGGUCCAUUAAGAGGAGAAGCAAAGGGAUUACAAAUACUCCUCAGAGGCUGAACUGCUUGACCACCCAGCCAUGUCCACUUUUCCUUGGAAGAUUACCAGCUGGGUCUCUCUCAGGAAAGGGACUAUGGAGAUGUUUUUCCUUUCUAGUUUUCGGGUCUGUUAUCUUCUGUGACCAUUGCUAUUGUGUGGUAUGCUGACUGCUCUCUCUGUCCCUCUCUGACUGCUCUCCCUAUCCCUCUCUGAGCUCCAGUCUUAUGGUCAGAUAAACUGUAAUGCCAUGGCGCCCCAAGCUGAAGCCCACGGGUGGUGGGAUUUGCAUGAACUCUCAUAGCAGAUGGGCAGAGCCAGGACUAGAACCCAGCUCCCUAGACUCCUGGCUUAGUGCUCUUUCCAUGGCUGCUUCAUGGAGGCAGAAGACUUUGAAGCCAGGCUGUGUGGGUCCAAAUACCAGCUCUACUACUUACUGUGAGGUCCAGGACAGGUUUUCUGUGCCUCAGUUUCAUCUCCUAUAAAAUGGGCUAACAUAAGCAGUAACUAUCUCACAGAUUGUUGUGAGAAUUAAAUAUAUAUGCUUCAUAUAUACAU
rnacentral:lncRNA from 1 species